CAGAUUUAAAAUACUGGUUUUAACUUUUAUUAUGACUGACUUGUCAUUACAAAAAUAUUAAUUGAUAUUAGUUUUAAUCAAAAAAAUGGAGCUUGUAGAAUUUGAGGCGAUAAUAAAAGCCAUUAGUCAAUCUUGCAGUGAACAACUCGAUCGCUUUACCGAAUCUUUGCACCCACUCGAUGAGUUAACACCUCAUGUGGAAGAAGAAGGGUAUUUGUUUAAUAUAUGUGCAAACGUUAAAUCUUUGAUUGAUUGUAAAGUAGAAAGGGCCUUUGAAAUCGUGGAUAACAAUGCUCAACUUUUGGAAAAAGAAAAGUCUGAAAUCAAUAAACUGGAAGAGGAACUUUCAAAUUUAACUACCGAAUUUGGUGCAAAGAAAAAUAAACUCCGGGAAACAACAAAACGGUGCGAAACUUAUAAUCAUAAGCUGCAAAAUCUUAAGAGCCUAAAGCUCUCCUUAUAUUUGUAUAAGUUAUUAACUGCAACACAAUUUGAUUAUACAAGACCUAACACAGGCUAUAUGGUACGGACGAACCCUCCAAACUAUGAAGUCUUCAAUUAUGGUGAAAUAGGCGAGGAACAAGUAGUACGAAAAUUAUGGGCAUUAAUGGAAAAAAUGGCACAUAAAAACGAAUAAAAACUUAAAUUUA